AAGGAAAUUCAACCCUCUGACGAAAGACGCACUGGCGCGUCCCAUCGAUGUUUGACAAAACUCCUGCUCAAAAAGCGAUAUUACACAAAUUCAUUUCAGACAUUUAUUUACUAUUUUAACCAUAUAUUACCAAAAGACUUUGAAAAACUCAUUUCAAGCACCGAAAGAAUCCAUAGAACACAUCAGAAGUUAAGGUUUCUUUUCAAGAGAGAUUUGAGGAAUUGCAAAAAGCCAACGUUAAGGUUUCAGCUUUAGCGGCUAAUUAUGUCUUCACACAUUGCUCUGG